rnacentral:rRNA from 1 species
GAUGAACGCUAGCGGCAGGCUUAAUACAUGCAAGUCGUGGGGCAGCAGGUUUGUAGCAAUACAGAUGCUGGCGACCGGCAAACGGGUGCGGAACACGUACAGAACCUUCCUUUGAGCGGGGAAUAGCCCAGAGAAAUUUGGAUUAAUACCCCAUAGUAUAAUGAAGUGGCAUCACUUUAUUAUUAAAGAUUUAUCACUCGAAGAUGGCUGUGCGGCUGAUUAGGUAGUUGGCGGGGUAAAGGCCCACCAAGCCUGCGAUCAGUAACUGGUGUGAGAGCACGACCAGUCACACGGGCACUGAGACACGGGCCCGACUCCUACGGGAGGCAGCAGUAAGGAAUAUUGGUCAAUGGAGGCAACUCUGAACCAGCCAUGCCGCGUGGAGGAUGAAGGUCCUCUGGAUUGUAAACUUCUUUAUAUGGGACGAAAAAAGGCUUUCUAAGUCGUCUGACGGUACCAUAUGAAUAAGCACCGGCUAACUCCGUGCCAGCAGCCGAGGUAAUC